CCUACGGGGGGCUGCAGUGAGGAAUAUUGGUCAAUGGGCGCGAGCCUGAACCAGCCAAGUCGCGUGAGGGAAGACGGUCCUAUGGAUUGUAAACCUCUUUUGUCGGGGAGUAAAAUACGCCACGCGUGGCGUUCUGUGUGUACCCGAUGAAUAAGCAUCGGCUAACUCCGUGCCAGCAGCCGCGGUAAUACGGAGGAUCCGAGCGUUAUCCGGAUUUAUUGGGUUUAAAGGGUGGGAAGGCGGAAGAUCAAGUCAGCGGUAAAAUUGGGAGGCUCACCCUCUUCGAGCCGUUGAAACUGGUAGUCUUGAGUGAGUGAGAGGUAUGCGGAAUGCGUGGUGUAGCGGUGAAAUGCUUAGAUAUCACGCAGAACUCCGAUUGCGAAGGCAGCAUACCGGAGCGCAACUGACGCUCAUGCACGAAAGUGUGGGUAUCGAACAGGAUUAGAUACCCGAGUAGUC
rnacentral:rRNA from 1 species